rnacentral:miRNA from 1 species
ACAAGCUUUCGGGAGAACCUCCCUUUCUCAAAAAAUGCUUCAGACUUGAGAAAGGGAGGUUCUCCCGAAAGCUUG